rnacentral:rRNA from 1 species
AUGAGCCCGCGCCCUCCGACACAGCGUGGCUGCAACUCGCCGCCGGCGCUGGUCGACGACGCGAUGCGCGAGAUCUUCAAGCGCGUCCUCCCGGACGACCCCAGGAGCCUCGUCCGCGCCACCGCCGUCUGCACGAGCUGGCACGGCAUCCUCUCCGACGCCGACUUCGCCCGCGAGUACCGCGCCUUCCACGGGGCGCCGCCCGUGCUGGGCUUCCUCCACAACACACGCCACAAGAGGCCGUGCGAGAAGGGGAGAAUCAGAGACUACGAAAAGGAGCACGUGGUCUCCAACUUCGUCUCCACCGCGUCCUUCCGCCCGCCGGCGUGCCACGAGCGCCGCCACUGGCGCGUUCUCGACUCCCGGCACGGCCUCGUCCUCUUCCACACACCUAAAAGGGACGAGGACUUCGCUAUCUGCGACCUCGUCACCGGUCGCCGGUGGGGAGUCAAGGCUGACCCCGACUGCGCUGACAUCAUCUGGAAUGAUUGGUCUGAAGAGGAUGAAGACGAGGGCAUAACCUGGAAUGCCGCGGUGCUAUGUGCUAAGGACGGCUGCCAUCACAUCUACUGCCAUGGCGGCCCUUUCCUGGUGGCCCUCGUCGGCUCCGACGAGGAAAAGACCUUUGCCACCGUCUACUCAUCGAAAACUCGUAAAUGGAGUGACAUUGUCUCUGGUGAGGAACCUCAUGCCAUCGAGACGACGGGGCACACUGUCGUUGUGGGAAACAAGGUCUAUUUCCCCUGUGAGGAGACCGACAGUCUUGUCGAGUAUGACAUGGCUGGGCAAAAAUUGUCGGUGAUUGCGCUAGCUGAAGAAGAGGAUGAUGACCUGCCGUGGCUUCACCUCAUGGGUGUGGAGGACGGGAUGCUGAUGUUAGCGACUGUGAUGAACUUUACACUCUGCCUAUGGUCAAUGGAGGCUGGUCCUAGCAAAACUGCAGUAUGGGUGCGAGUGUGCGACACAGGGUCAUCGAGCUCGUACCGUUGCUCCCUGCUAGUGCCCUCAUUGGCGUGUCGGUGGUUGGUUUUGCGGAAGGUGUUGGUGUCAUCUUCGUGA